rnacentral:lncRNA from 1 species
UGAACUGCCAGCCUCAGGUGAUCUACCUGUCUCAGCCUCCCAAAGUGCUGGGAUUACAGGUGUGAGCCAUCGUGCCCAGCAUUUUAGUAAUAUUUUAUUGUAUUGUCAACUCUAUCAGUAAUAACAAUAUGAAAGAAGUUUAAAAAUAAAUUAAUGGAAGGAUAGUUUAUGUUUCUAAAAAUCCAAUUUUUGUAUAUGCAUUUAGGCAUUUUUUUAAAAAGCAAGGUAACAGAAAUUUGAACUUUACAUUUGUUGUCUUGAUUUUCUUUUAGUAUCAAUUUUCUGUUUAAUUGUUAGGGUUUCAUGUUCAAGAUAUUUGUAUCUUGUCCUGAUAAUGUGACAUUUUGAAAUAAAGCCAGAGAUAGAUGCUGACAGAAAAAGUCCAGAAAUGAAUUAUUCCUACUGGCAUCAUGUGAGAAAAGAAAAUGUUUUAAAAUGGUAACAUCUGUGAAAGCUUAGAACAAUCUUCUUGUCUCAAAAUGCAUUUUAAAAAAUUACACCCAUGCAGUUGGAAAUGGAUAUUUUAUUAUUUAAUAAUGUCCUAUUUUAGCUGACGUGCAGAGAGAACACAUUAUCAUGUACAUUUUCUUCAAUAUUAAAGGCAUUAAAGUAGUAGAAUCAUAGAUUUGAGAGACACUUUAGGAAUCAGCUUGUCAAAUGCCCUUAUUCUACAGAACAGGGAAUGGAGGCCCAGGGGAGGGACACCAUGAGGUGGUUGGUGUCACAGCUUAGGGAACUGGCAGGCAGCCCAGGGGCCAGGCUCGCCCCGUCAGUCUACCUCUCUGUAGGAAAUUCAACCUCAGAUGCUUUCCACUUUGAAGAAAUCACAGGAAAAGUGCACACAUCAGAGUGGAGAAUUAUUUGCUGGCAUGUCCACAUUCUAGACACUCGGUUGAAUGCCUCUGUCCACUCUUUCCAGCCCUACUUCCUAUAUUCAUGGUCCACCUACAAGCACACAUGCACCUUCACCCUAACUGCAGAAAUGUAAAUGCAGGUAAGAACCCUAGGAGAAAACGUGUCCACAAUUGUCUAAUUAUAUUGAAGUGACAGCAGAAUUAAUCAGACAUAUUUUUAGGUUAAUAGUUAUUUUGCUUCAUGCUAAUUAACAAAUAACAAUUUGGAAAACUAAGUUAUGGACAUCUAGGAAUAAGAUUAAUUUUUGUGUUUUUAGAAUGUUUUGAAAGCACUACUGAGAAUUCUUAGUAAAACAAGAGCCAAAUUAAAACAGAAGUUAUUUUAUUUUAUUUUAUUUUUUGAUGCACAGUUUCACUCUUGUUGCCCAGGCUGGAGUGCAAUGGCGUGAUCUUGGCUCACCGCAACCUCCUCCUCCCGGGUUCAAGUGAUUCUCCUGCUUCAGCCUCCCGAGUAGCUGGGAUUACAGGCAUGCACCAACACACCCGGCUAAUUUUGUAUGUUUAGUAGAGACAGGGUCUCUCCAUGUUUGUCAGGCUGGUGUCAAACUCCCGACCUCAGAUGAUCCGCCCGCCUUGGCCUCCCAAAGUGCUGGGAUUACAGGGAUGAGCCACCACACCUGGCCAAAACAGAAGUUAUUUAAGAGAUGGUUUUAAGAGACUCUGCCUACUCUGAACAGCAAAUUCUUGACUUUUAACAGAUAAGGACAGAGCUAGAAAAUCCAGGUAGUUAUUUUUAAUAGUAUUUUAUUAUUACAUAUAUACUUUGCAUAUGUUACAUAUAAUUAGUAUUGCAUUAUUAGAUAUCUUAUGUAAUUUUAUUUUAUGUUUUAUAUAGUUAUCAUAACUACUUAUCUUGGAACUUGGUGAAAAUGGUAUUUAUGGAAAACAUUUGCACCACCUGGAAUAUGAGCUGUAUCAUUACUAUGUUUGGCUGGAUACAAUAAAAUCUGAAAAACAGAUAGUAGCUCUUACUAUCUUUCUCCAGUGCCUUUGCACUCAGCAGGUGUGGUGAGCCCGCUUGCUGAUGGAGCUUGAGUCUCCUGGGAAGCCCUCAGUAUUCUGUCAUCUGGCUUCAGCUGGAAUGUUGGCCUUUGGCCUCAUAUCCCUUAUUCUAACCUGGAGUACAGAGAGUGGAGGCUUUGCUUGUUACCCUUGAGGAGGCUUCUCUGACCAGCAGCGCUCAGGUGCUCCCCUACCAGCAGGACUGGCUUUCCUUUGUUGGGAUCUUCAGCUCUGGAAGCUUCCUUCUCUUUGUGUUUCCUGUCCCGAGGGAAGAAUGUUCAACAUCUUUUGCUGAAAAGAGUGUUUUAAUAUAUGAAAUCUGAGGCCGGGCGCAGUGUCUCACGUCUGUAAUCCUCCUAGCACUUUGGGAGGCUGAGGCGAGUGGAUCAUCUGAGGUCAGGAGCUCAAGACCAGCCUGGCUAACAUGGUGAAACCCGUUUCUACUAAAAAUACAAAAAAAAAAAAAAAAAAUUAGCGGGCUUGGUGGUGCAUGCCUGUAAUCCCAGCUACUCGGGAGGCUGAGGCAGGAGAAUCGCAUGAACCCUGGAGGCGAGGUUGCAGUGAGCCGAGAUCGCGCCACUGCACUCAGGCUUGGGCAACAAGAGUGAAACUCCAUCUCAAAAAAAAGAAAAAAAUAUAUAUAUAUGUAUGAAAUCUGAAUCUAAAAAUGAAUGCUCCCUUUCCUCAAAACUGGGGCAGCACCACAGCUCAUACAAAAGCAUAAUAUGACGCUUAGGUCAAAGGAGCUAAGGACCUUGCUACUCACAGAGUUGUGCUUAAACCAACAUUGUUGCAUUACCUGGGAGCUUCUUAAAAUGUAGGAUCUUAAGGCCAGGUGCAGUGGCUCAUGCCUGUCAUCCCGGCACUUUGGGAGGCCAAGGCAGGAGGAUCGCUUGAUGCCUAGAGUUAGAAAUUAGUAUGGGUAACAUAGUGAGAUCCCAUCUCUACAAAAAAUAAUUUUAAAAAUUAGCCAGGUGUGGGGAUGCAUGCCUUUAGUGUAGUCUCAGCUACUUGGGAGGCUGAAAGUAGGAUGAUCGCUUGAGCCUGGGAGUUUGAGGCCACAGUAAGCUUUGAUCGUGCCACUGCACUCUUGCCUGGAUGACAGAGCAAGACACCAUCUCUAAAAAAAUAAACAAAUAAAAAGAAAAAGAAAAGAAAUGCAGAAUCUCAGAAUCCACCCCAGACUUCCAGAAUUAUAAUUGUGAACAAGAUCCACAAGUAAUGCAUGUGCACUUUAAAGACAGACGGAGAGAGGUACCACAGAAGUUGAAGAGGAAAGCAAGGGUGUCGUAAGAAGAGUUGGACUAUUUCAGAACAGCAAGCUCUGCUGCUCUAGUAAUUUGUGGUACUUAGUGUUUAUUUUCAUGUCAGCAGAUGAAGAGAAGUCAUGCACAAACAAAAUUAAAGAAAACAAAUCAACACCUCCCCAUUAUAUUUCUUUAAUGCCAUCACACGUCAGCC